rnacentral:rRNA from 1 species
GACGAACGCUGGCGGCGUGCUUAACACAUGCAAGUCGAACGAUGAAGCGGUGCUUGCACCGUGGAUUAGUGGCGAACGGGUGAGUAAUACGUGAGUGACCUACCUUUGACUCUGGGAUAAGCCUGGGAAACUGGGUCUAAUACCGGAUACGACCAAUCUCUGCAUGGGGUGUUGGUGGAAAGCGUUAUGGAGUGGUUUUAGAUGGGCUCACGGCCUAUCAGCUUGUUGGUGAGGUAAUGGCUUACCAAGGCGACGACGGGUAGCCGGCCUGAGGGGGUGACCGGCCACACUGGGACUGAGACACGGCCCAGACUCCUACGGGAGGCAGCAGUGGGGAAUAUUGCACAAUGGGCGCAAGCCUGAUGCAGCGACGCCGCGUGAGGGAUGACGGCCUUCGGGUUGUAAACCUCUGUUAGCAUCGAAGAAGCGAAAGUGACGGUAGGUGCAGAGAAAGCGCCGGCUAACUACGUG